GAGUGGGCCUAAAUCUUUUAUUUGAAACUGGGUCUGAAGAAAGUGUUUAAGAGAUGAAAUGCCUAAAGAAUCACUUCCAGUGAUAACAAUAUCAUCAACAUACAUUACCAGUAGAAUUAGGCCAGUCUUAGACUGCCUAUAAAACAUCGAAUGAUUGCACUUACUCUUUUGCAUACCAAAAUCUUGUACUACUUCAUUGAAUCUCCCAAACCAAGCCCGAGGACUUUGUUUCAAGCCACAAAGAGACUUUAGAAGUUUACAAACUUUACCCAACUCCCCCUAAGCAACAAACUCAAGUGGUUGCUCCAUAUAUACCUCCUUCAGAAGAUCACCAUGAAGAAAAGCAUUCUUUAUAUCUAAUGGUGCAAAGACCAAUCAUAUGUAGCUGCUAGAGAGAAAAAUAAUUGAACUGAAACUAGUUUAGCUACAGAAGAAAAAGAAUCAGAGUAAUCUACUCCAUAUAUUUGAGCAUGUCCCUUGGCUACAAGACGUGCUUGCAAUCUGGCUAUAGAACCAUCAGGAUUCAUCUUCACCGAAAAAAUUUAUUUGCAACCAAUAGCUUUCUUA
rnacentral:misc_RNA from 1 species